rnacentral:rRNA from 1 species
UACGUAGGGUGCAAGCGUUAAUCGGAAUUAAUGGGCGUAAAGCGUGCGCAGGCGGCGCGUUAAGACAGGUGUGAAAGCCCCGAGCUUAACUUGGGAAUUGCGCUUGUGACUGGCGUGCUGGAGUGUGGCAGAGGGAGGUGGAAUUCCACGUGUAGCAGUGAAAUGCGUAGAGAUGUGGAGGAAUACCGAUGGCGAAGGCAGCCCCCUGGGAUAACACUGACGUUCAUGCACGAAAGCGUGGGGAGCAAACAGG